GACGAACGCUGGCGGUAUGCUUAACACAUGCAAGUCGAACGAGAAGUCUUUUAUUGAACCUUCGGGGGAUAUAAGAGACAGACAGUGGCGAACGGGUGAGUAACGCGUGGGCAACCUACCUAUCGGAGCGGGAUAGCCUCGAGAAAUCGGGAGUAAAACCGCAUAACACGGAUAUAUCGCAUGAUGAAUCCGUCAAAACUCCGGUGCCGAUAGAUGGGCCCGCGUCUGAUUAGCUAGUUGGUAAGGUAAGGGCUUACCAAGGCAACGAUCAGUAGCCGGUCUGAGAGGGCGAACGGCCACACUGGAACUGAGACACGGUCCAGACUCCUACGGGAGGCAGCAGUGGGGAAUAUUGCGCAAUGGGGGCAACCCUGACGCAGCAAUACCGCGUGAGUGAAGAAGGUUUUCGGAUCGUAAAGCUCUGUUAUUGGGGAAGA
rnacentral:rRNA from 1 species